rnacentral:rRNA from 1 species
UACGGCUCAGUAACACGUCGUUAAUCUGCCCUUAGGUCAGGGAUACCCUCGGAAAGCUGAGGUUAACCCUGAUAAGAGAUUAUGUCUGGAAUGAUUUAUCUCCUAAAUUCGAGCCUAAGGAUGAGACGGCGGCGGAUUAGGCUGUUGGCGGGGUAAUGGCCCACCAAACCAAAGAUCCGUACGGGCCUUGAGAGAGGUAGCCCGGAGAAGGACACUGAGAUACUGGUCCUAGCCCUACGGGGUGCAGCAGGCGCGAAACCUUUACAAUGCACGAAAGUGUGAUAAGGGAAUUCUAAGUGCUUACACUUUGUGUAGGCUUUUGCCAAAAGUAAAAAUUUUGGCGAAUAAGUGGUGGGAAAGACUGGUGCCAGCCGCCGCGGUAACACCAGCGCCACGAGUGGCAAUCAUGUUUAUUGGGCCUAAAGCGUUCGUAGCCUGUCUGAUAAAUCUUUUGUGAAAUUGUUGAGCUCAACUUAACAGUGUGCAGAAGAGACUGUCAGACUUGGGACCAGGAGGGGUUGAAGGUAUUCUUGGGGGAGCGGUAAAAUGCUAUAAUCCCUUGAGGACCACCUGUGGUGAAGACGUUCAACCAGAAUGGAUCCGACGGUGAGGAACGAAAGCUAGGGGAGCAAUCCGGAUUAGAUACCCGAGUAGUCCUAGCUGUAAACGCUGCGAGCUAGGUGUUGCACAUUCUUCGGGAAUGUGCAGUGUCGAAGCGAAGGUGUUAAGCUCGCCGCCUGGGAAGUACGGUCGCAAGACUGAAACUUAAAGGAAUUGGCGGGGGAGCAC